rnacentral:rRNA from 1 species
UAGGGAAUCUUCGGCAAUGGGGGCAACCCUGACCGAGCAACGCCGCGUGAGUGAAGAAGGUUUUCGGAUCGUAAAGCUCUGUUGUAAGAGAAGAACGUGUGUGGGAGUGGAAAGUUCACACAGUGACGGUAACUUACCAGAAAGGGACGGCUAACUACGUGCCAGCAGCCGCGGUAAUACGUAGGUCCCGAGCGUUGUCCGGAUUUAUUGGGCGUAAAGCGAGCGCAGGCGGUUUAAUAAGUCUGAAGUUAAAGGCAGUGGCUUAACCAUUGUUCGCUUUGGAAACUGUUAAACUUGAGUGCAGAAGGGGAGAGUGGAAUUCCAUGUGUAGCGGUGAAAUGCGUAGAUAUAUGGAGGAACACCGGUGGCGAAAGCGGCUCUCUGGUCUGUAACUGACGCUGAGGCUCGAAAGCGUGGGGAGCAAACAGG